rnacentral:rRNA from 1 species
CAGAGGGUGCAAGCGUUAUUCGGAAUUACUGGGCGUAAAGCGCGCGUAGGCAGCUGAUUAAGUCGGGUGUGAAAGCCCCGGGCUCAACCUGGGAAUUGCAUCCGAUACUGAUUGGCUAGAGUAUGAGAGAGGGAGGUAGAAUUCCACGUGUAGCGGUGAAAUGCGUAGAUAUGUGGAGGAAUACCGGUGGCGAAGGCGGCCUCCUGGCUUAAUACUGACGCUGAGGUGCGAAAGCGUGGGGAUCAAACAGGAUUAGAUACCCUGGUAGUCCACGCCGUAAACGAUGUCAACUAGCCGUUGGGCACCUUAGUGUGCUUGGUGGCGCAGCUAACGCGAUAAGUUGACCGCCUGGGGAGUACGGUCGCAAGAUUA